rnacentral:lncRNA from 10 species
CUUUUCUUUGCUUUUUUUUUUUCCUUAAUUGCGGAGUCACAUGCAGUUGUAAGAAAUCAUUCACUUUGCCUAGUUUCCCCCAGUGUUACCACUUUGCAAAACUUUGCCAAAAAAAAAAGUCCAAUCUCACAACCAGGAUAUUGACUUUGAUACAGUCACCGAUCUUAUUCAGUUUUGCCGUUUUACUCGUCUUCCUUUGCAUGUAUUAGUUUUACACAAUGUAAUCAUCUGUGUACCUUCCCGUAUCCACCCCCACCUGGCCACUCCUGUGGCGAUUUUACAGCCGCACCCCGGAGCCCUGGCAUCACUAAUCUUUCCUCUAUUUCUAAAAUUGUUUUAUUUCAGAAAUGUUAUGUUUAGAUACAGGAAUCAUACAGCGCCUAAUUUUUUGAAAUUGGCUUUCUUCACUCGUUAGUCUAAUUCCCUGCAGGUUCACGUCUUGCUUUUUUACACGAGUUUCCUCUCAGAAAGUAACUUUUUUUAAAAAAUUACCCAACAGCAAAUCUAAAGUCCAUUUCAAAUGCAAGAGUUCCCUCAUCCUUUCCUAAAUAACAGCCUCUUUUUACAGGUAGAACAGAUGGUUUGAAAAGGAAAGAUUUUUUUUUCACAUAUGGGGAAAAAAAAUUCCCAGCCUUGGAAGGAUAUUUGGGUUAGAGGCCGAAGUGCAUCACAGAUCACGCACGCGUCCACACCUCAGAAAACACUCACUCAUUCCUGAGACGCAACGGUGAGUGAAGGCUUAUUUUUGGCCACAGGAGAUUAAUAAUGAAGACAGGAGGGCGGAGCUAAAGGAGAGGGUAUUUUAACGACAUUAACUGUGUUUUUGUGUUAGUAACUCGGAAAGAGAGAGGCUGCCCCAAGUCAGCGCAUUGAAAGCCGCAGACCUAGUGUCUCCAGGCUCCCCCUUCCAAACGGGCGCGGACCUUCUUUCAUAGCCUGUAGCGGGGAGCCGCGUCUCCCCACUGCCUCCCCACUCCCAUCCGGCCGCUCUUUGGAGGGAACUCACACAUCCCAACAUGACGAUGCUUGCUCGGGGGGCCUCCUGGGGGGACCAGGGAGCCACUUCCUUUCCCACAUACUCCGGAAAUUAAAGUUGGUCUCCUUAAGGCUGGAGUGGCAAAUAGUUGUUUUAAGCUUGUCACAAAUGUAACUUACAUUUGGACUAAUGUUUUAAAAAAUAAUUGGAGUUUUGAAUCUACGAAGAUACCUUGGAAGUAAACAUAGUUAUUAUUUUGGUGGGAAAAAAAUGAAUGGACUUGAAAGUGAGUCACCUGUCCUGUUCCCGGGGCUCAGCUCUAGCAAAGUACCUUUCUCCAUCUACAGUCUCCGGCACACAGCUCCGCAGCUGGGGGUGACUAAGAGCCCACACCACGCAAGUAAUAAAACGCUCCAAUUUCAUUUAUUUAAUCAUCUGUGUGCUUCAUUUGACAAAUAUUUAUGGAGUGUCUGCUGCUAGCUCAGUGCCUGGUGCCUGGGACUGAAGACCAGAGCCCCCUGGAGACCAAAAGAGCCAGCUCCCAGCUGUGAGCAGAUCGGGUCCAAAGAUCACGGGCUCGGCGGCAGGAACCUGGUUUGGUAUCCGGCUCCUCUGCGGACUUUGAAGUGCUUUACCGAUUCACAUGACAACUGGUAAAACGAAAACAAACACCUUUCCAGGAAUUGUGAAUUCGAGUUCCAGACCCUCUGGGAUUCCGGGAGCGCAGCUGCUAUUUAUGUUAACAGUCAUUGGUCCCAGGCUGGUGAGGUUAGAAUUUCCAAGUAUAAAAGUAAUUUAGUUUCGUUUUAAAUACAUUUUAGGGCCAAAGAAAAGUGGAACGAUUUAAAGAAAAAGAUGAAAUGAAUAAUAGGGCAAGUUGGGAGGUGGCUGUCCUGAGGUUUCAUGGGACAACAUUAAUUAACCUCAUGAAGUGCCUGCAUGGACAACGUGCCCGGUGUGGUUACAAACAAACCAAUCAGCACAGAUCCUGGGUGGAAAGCAGGGCGCAGCCACGGAGGCACAGUAGGGGUGCAGACUUGAAGGUUUUUAGGAGGUAAGCCCCGAGGGCACGAAGCUCCACGGAGAGACUGUUGACCCGCCUGGGAGUGCAGUGCAGGUGGAUGAGAGUGGGACACCUGCCAGUUGUUUGCAUCAGCAGACACUCAGAGUCCAUGGAAAAAAUGAGCCUAGAGGUUUUUAAACCACAACACAAGCAAAAGGCACCUGGUCCCGUUCCUCUUAAGACAGAAGAAAGAGGCGUAAAACCAGCUCCAGGUGCCACCCUUAAGAAAUGUUACAGUGCCGGAUGGGAAGAGUAAACCCUGAACAUCUCUUCUUAAUACUUUACAGACUUCAAGUGUAUUUUAUGGUGACAAAGCAUAUUGAAGACAAAUGAAACUCUACAACCCUGAAAACCAGCCUGAAUUAUUUUGAGAGACAGACAGUGGCUGCAAGGAGAAGCGUCGGGAUUUUCUGGGCUGGCCAUCUCCAGUGUCACUGACCCCGGUCUACCCCUGCAUGUUUGUUUACGGGAAAGGAGUUGAGGAGGAGGAUGUAUGGCUGAGAGCCUGAAAAUAAUCCAGGGCAGGUGGAGCGAGGAGAGGACUUUACUCCUCACACUCAUGUAGGCAUCCUGAAAAGCCACUUUUCUUUCCAAGGUGGGCACGGGCCUUGAGCUUGGAGUGGAGCCAGUUAAAGUUGUCCGCUCUGGGUCGUCAGAUGGAGAUCUUAUCUUGGGUCAUGAAUUGUGGUUUUAGGAGAAAGGCAGAAGCUAAACCCAUCUUCUGUCUGGUGGGGAGGCCCAGCAAAGGGCUCAGAAACACAGCCACAGGCCUCUUGCAGCAGCUGGAUGCACAUUUCAGGAGGUUGCCUGAAAGCAGAAUUGACUUCAGAGAGUAGGGCAGCAGAGCCCAGCCACAGAGUGGUCCCAGGAGCCAGGAAGUGCCACACAGCCCCUCGCUUAUUUUUACUCAGUAUGCCACAGAAGUCCUGACCUGUUAAAAGUGCCCUUUAAGAAUGGCUGGCCCACCCUCUCUCAGAGGGUUCAUGCUGGGGAGAGGGUUCCUGCAUGCCCGCUAAGCUCCAAAUGACAACCCAGGUGUAGAAAGGGCUUAGACUUUAGGGUUCAAACCCAUCCUAGAGUCCGGUCCAAGGCCAGUUACAGCCAAUGGGCAGUGGUAGGUGCAGCCCAGCCCAUUAGCUCAUUCUUGAGCCUCAGAGGGACAGAGCAGCACUAAUGGGUGCACAAAUGGCUAGAAUGUUCACCAACUCCUCGAGAGUGGCAUUGGACAUUUGGGCAAGGGUCUUAUGGAGGCUGAGAGUUGACUGUGGGCUCAUCACAGCUAUUUUGAGGGUCUUGACAGCCCAACUAGCAAACAAUUCUGCAGGGAUGAGAGGUCAGGGCAAAGGGAAAUGGCAUUGUCAAGUGGACAGCCAAAAAGUCCAGGAUGCCCCCAGGUCCUGGGGAACGGCGGGGGAGGAACUCAGGGACUGGAUUACCCACAGGACCUGGUGAGACCCACAGCCACGGGCUGACUUGUGUCCACUCAGAAGCGUAUGUUAAAAUCCUAACCCCCAGUACUUUGGAAUGUGACCUUAUUUGGAAAUAGAGACUUUGAAGAUGAUCAAGUUAAGAUGAAGUCAUGGGGCCGAGAGCGGUGGCUCACGCCCGUAAUCGCAGCACUUCGGGAGGCUGAGGCGGGCAGAUCACGAGGUCAGGAGAUCGAGAUCAUACUGGCUAACACGGUGAAACCCCUUCUCUACUAAAAAUACAAAAAAAAAAAAAUUAGCCGGGCAUGGUGGCGGGCACCUGUAGUCCCAGCUACUCAGGAGGCUGAGGCAGGAGAAUGGCAUGAACCCUGGAGGUGGAGCUUGCAGUGAGCCGAGAUCGUGCCACUGCACUCCAGCCUGGGAGACAGAGCGAGACUCCAUCUCAAAUAAAUAAAUAAAUAAAUAAAGAUGAAGUCAUUAGGGUAGACCCUAAAGCAACAGAGCUAGUGUCCUUGUAAAGAGGGGAAGUCUGGACACAGACACACACCUGCACUAAGGGAAGUGGGUGGGAAACACUGGGAAGAUGCCACAUGACUGCAGUGACGCAGCUGCACGCCAAGUGAUGCCUGGGGCACUGGAAGCCGGGGAGGGUUCCUGCCUGGCCCCUAAGCUCCAAAUGACAACCCAGGCAUAGGAAGGGCCUACACUUUGGGGUUCAAACCUAUCCUGGAGUCUGGUCCGGGGCCAGUUACAGCUAAUGGGCAGUGCUGGGUGCAGCCCAGCCCGUAAGCUCAUUCUUGAGCCCCAGAGGGACAGAGCAGCUCUAAUGGGUGCAAAAAUGGCUGGAAUAUUUCACCAACUCCUUGGGUGGGUGGGUGGGGGGGGGGCAUUGGACAUUUUGGGCAAGGGUCUUCUUGAGGCUGAGAGAGGCCAGGAAGGAGCUUCCCCUGGAGUUGUCUGGGAGUGGGACCCUGCUGACACCGACCUCAACUUUUGACUUCUGGCCUCUAGAGCUGUGAGAGACUAAACACCUGUGGUUUUAAGCCACCUGGUUUGUGUCACUUUGCUGUGGCAGCCACUAGAAACUAAUACACCCAACUAGAUACGUAUCUUUGUCACAGUUACAGGAAUCUUUAUUUUAUCCAAAAGCAAAAGACACUGAACUUUUGUGUACAUUCCAGGCCUGCUGAUUGUAGCUGGUCUAUAAGCUCGUGUCGGAGUCUAUGGUGGUUGAUUUUUGUGUCCCUUUGACUGAGCCACGAGGUAUUUGAUCAAACAUUAUUCCAGGUGUUUCUGUGAGGCUGCUUUUGGAUGAGAUUAACAUGUAAAUCAAUAGAGUCAAGCAAAUCGUUCUCCCCAAUGCAGAUGGGUUUCGUCCAUGCAGCUAGAGGCCUGAAAAGAAGGAAAAGCUGAUCAUCCUCGUGUAAGAGAGAAUCUCUCCUACCCAACGGCCUUCCAGCUGGGAUACUGGCUUUUUCUUGCCUUUAGACUUGAACUGAACAAUUGGCUCUUCCUGGCCUCAGGCUUUGGGACUCAGAAGCACACAUUGACUGUCCUGGGGCUCCAGCUUAUGGACUACCCUGCAGAAAGACUGUGGGACUCGUCAGCCAUCAUCAUCCUGUGAGCCAGUUUUACACAGACACACACACACACAGUCGCACUCUCAUGCUCACACAUACACACUCACACACAAUCACACACUUGCACACACACAGACACUCUUACACACUCAUUCACACACUCACAUGUGCACACACACAGUCUCUCACACACAUCACACACACACACACACACACACACACACACACACACUAUUGGUUCUGUUUCUCUGUAUAACCCUGAUGAAUUCAGGAUCUUAAAGGUUACCUAUUUCAUUGUAAUGCUGUUUUCUAGCACCAGGCUAGUCCUUUUGUCGGCAGAACUGGUAGGCUCACUUUUUUUUUUUUCAGACUGUUUUGUGUUUUAUUUUCUUCCAUUUACAAAAAAGCAUUUCUAAGCCAGGGCAGUGAAGCCUGACGCUACCGUUCACGGUCAGUGAAAUGAGCAUUCGAGGAUGGGACUCAGCCUGUCUGGACAGGUCCCCAGACAAAAAACACAGAGAAUCAAGAACGCAGGCGCUCCCUGUCGGACGCCAGGCCGGGCCCUGUGACAAGGAUCUCAGCGCUGGCGGUGGGGCUGCCCUGCGGGUUCGAGGCCUGGCUCUUCCUGCCCCACUGCCUGGUGUGUAGCCCAGGGGCCGGGCCGCCUGCGCCCCCCGCCGGGGGGCACGCCCGGCCCAGGGUUGGGGGUGUCCGGCUUGCCCCCAGGGGGCCAGCGGGGCCUCUGUUAUCUCGCUCCAGAACCGACAUCGCCAGCCAAGACCUUCCUCGUGGAGCCCUCGGUCUGGCCAAGGACGCUCCUUGGAGUCUGCUUAGACGCACAGCGGGCUCAGCUUUGCCAAAUUCUCCAAGGAGACUUUCCAUGAGGCGCCUCCUGCCAUCUGUGGGCGGCGUUGGGAACUGCGGCCACCGCUGCUUGGGAAUCAGGACGUCCCAGCUCCCAACCGGCGGUCAUUCAUUCCCUCAACACACACUCUGGGCCGCCCGCCUGGCUCCAGGCAGGCCCUCCGGGGACUCGGGAAAUAGGAGUUGUUAAACAUUUCUGAAACAUUCCUCUUCCAUUUAUUCUGUGAUUUUCUUCAGAAACACAAGGCGUGCACGAGUCAGCUUAUCAGCUUAUCCUUCACCCACACGUAGGCUCUUCUUUCCAAUCAAUUUUAUCUUUGUUUUUUUCUAAGAAAAUUUUAGGGAUUUUACUUGUUUUUGUUUUGUUUUUGGGUUUUUUUGUGUGUUUUGUUGUUGUUAUUUUGUUUUUUUUUUUUUUUGGUGGGGGGUUGGCUUGGUUUGGUUUUUGCUUCAUUUUUUAAUUUUAGGGAUUUUUAAAAAGCCAGCAUUCCUUAAUCUUCUGAUUGUUGUGUGACUGUUGUAUAAUAUUGAGAAAUACAUUCCUGUCAUCCACAACUAACAACCAUUAAUAAUGUGUCGUAUUGUUUACUUUUUUGUUUUUAACUAAAUUUUGCUUUGGGGAAGUAUCCAUGACGAUACAAUAUAGCUGUGAGAUAUUUCCUGUACCUGCUACGUAACACCCCUUCAUGUAAAACGCAGAGCAUUUGGUUUAUCCACAUCCCCCCGCCCCCCGCCCAUGCAUAUUAGUGGUUUCCAGUGCUAAAGGGACAGCGCCCCCCACGUGCAUUUCUCCAGGUACUGAGGCAGGAGAAUAGGGGCUGGAGGCAGGGGACCAAAGGCUGUUUCACUCAGACUUCCUACAACUAAAUUGAAAGGAAAACCCUAACUUUCCACUCCUAAGUAACAAAAGGACCAGAGGCUAUUCCCUUUCUAAACCCCCCCACCUUUUCCUCGAGGCAAAUGGGAAAUUGGCUGUCCGCAACCAAUCAGACUGAUUGUGGGUGGAGUCUUCGUUUGCACCUCUGUACCUUCGCUCCAGUCUCUGAACGGUUGCUGUCCACAACGAAUCAGACUGAUUGCGGGCUCAGCCUUCGUUUGCAUAGAAGUAUAACUUUGUAACUUCACCCUAGCCUCUGACUGGUUGCUUUUGGCACCUUCAUUUACAUGAGGUGAGCAUGAUGUGGCCAAUUGGAAACUUCUAGGGGAUAUUUGGACCCAAGAAGAUCCUGUAUCCAGGCCCUUGAGCCGCUGCUCGGGUCCGCUCCCAUACUGUGGAGUGUACUUUGGUUUUCAAUAAAUUCCUGCUUUCGUUCUUUUGCUGCUUCAUUCUUUCUUUGCUUUGUUGGGCGUUUUGUCCAAUUCUUUGUUCAAAAUGCCAAGAACCUGGACAAGUUGCAGUUAUGACCCUCGACCGGUGAUAGUAGCACUCGCUCCUAACAGCUUGGCUGCAGUAAGCCUAGGCUUCCAGGGAGAGCCUCUGCACCUGCUGCUGUGCUGCUUGAGUUCUCUCAGACAAGGAAGCAUGAAAAGGGCUGCCUUUUUCAAACAGCAGGGGAAGGAAAACACAGUGAUAACAAAUCCAAAUAUUAUUUCAAUUGAGAUCUUAUCAUAU